rnacentral:lncRNA from 10 species
UGGUCACGCUGGUGUCAAACUGCUGACCUCAAGUGAUCCGCCCACCUCGGCCUCCCAAAGUGCUGGGAUUACAGGUGUGAGCUACCGCGCCCGGCCAGGUAUUAUUAUUUUUACAGAUGAUGUAACUACAGCAUAGAGGGAUGAAGGGAAAUGGUUUUUCUCACUCUGGGUACAGGUUUUCUUUUCCUUACACCUACCUGUUCUAGUGCUUUCUGUUAUUCUAAGCCUUAGUAUAUGUUAGUCUCUUUGCCAGUAAUACCCUUCCUACUUUGCUUGGCCUAUUCAGCUCCUUUUCAUCCUUCAAAACCCACCUCUGUGUCUCACUUCUAGGCGGAAUUAGUCAUUGGCUAAUAUGUACUUCCACAAUACUGGGUUCAUACAUUUAACCCUGGUUUUAAACUUAACCUGGUUAUAAAUAUGUGUUCCCAGGUUUGUCUCCUCUUAACCCCUACCUAUGUCCUGCCUCCAGAUUUGAGGGCAGAGAAAAUUUUUUUCACCUCUGUAUUCCCUAUCCCUGGGCUUGACAUGCAAUAAGAUAAAAUGUUAAAUAACUUUGAUGACAUGCAUCAACUCCAGUCAAUUGAUUGAAUCUGUCUGGAUUGCUACAUUGAGAUGGGCUAUUUUUCCAGCUUUGUGGGAAGGAGUCCUGCGAUUCAUUCUUGAUGUCUGCCAUGGGCUUGGGAAUGUUGGAUAAUGCCUACGAGAGGCUGUCUAUACAACCACUGUGACAGAGAAGAUUGCAACAGGGAUUCUUCAUCCAAACAGCAGUCUUAUCACAGCCUCCACCCAAAACCUAUGCCUCCUUUUUGCAAGAGGCCACUUACAGCUUCCAAAGAGCUCUUCAUGAUUUUAGACACUGAGAGGAAGGAAGGAGACAGCAUGAGAGAAAAGCUAUUUUCCUUUUUGAGAUGUUGCUUCUCACAUAGCAACCCUAAAAGUCAAAGCAGCAUCCUUGUCACAACUAAGGGUGUUCCCAGCACUGAGUAGAAGCUGCAACUAUGCCCCCAUCGCUGUGAGACUUUGACCAAGUCCCUUUCUGGCUUCAAUUUUCUCAUCAAUGAAAUAAUUUCUGGGCCUCUAUUUCCUUGUCUGUGAAAAAUGAAGUAAUAAUAUCUACCUAUGGGGUGGAUGUUUGGGUCAAAUGAGAAAAUAUGUAUGGCUGUGAACUUUAUGUGGCUGUGUCCAGGUGCCAGAGAUGAUGAUUGCUGUUGAACUGGGCUUGAAGGUAGGAGGGAUUUCACCAGAAAGAAGUGAGGCUGUCCCAAGUGAGAGGAAAAGUUGGGCCUUACAGAGGGAUGCUACCCAGAAUUCAGAGAAGUACAGGGCUAGAGGUGCAUUAAGUGCAUAAAGAUGUCAUUACCGCAUGGGGGAGAUUUCACAAAACACUUUCUGUCUUUGGCCUCCUGCCCUUGGUUUCAUUUUAAACACUUUCCUUUUGCUAGAGCCUUUGCAUCUAUCCAUCUAUUCAUUUAGCAUCUACCGCCUGCCAGGCCCACUGCUAGGUGCUGAGGUUACAGACAAGAAUUUACAUAAUUCCUUCCUUCUAUGAGUCCUCAGGCUAGUGGGAAGCAGCACAACAAAUCUCAAAUAACAAUAACAAAAGCAUGCCGUAGGAUGAAUAAUUUCAGAGAGAAGGUGUGUGUGUGUCAUCAAGAGAAAGUCAAAGGAUUCACAGAGGAGCUGAAUUUUGAAGCAUGAGAUGGUAAAAAGGAGUCUCCAGGACAACAGAGAGAAGACAUGAUAAAGGGCUUUCUGUACAGUGGGAAAGGCAAGUUCUGAGAGACAGCAAGGACACCUAUUUUGUUGGGGGUACUGAAGUCAUCAUAGGACACCCUGAAGGAAAAUGAGCCAAGGCCUCAUGUUCACAAAGCGUUUCAAUUUUAGACAUUCAGUCCCAGAGACUCACUCCCUAAAUUGGUCUUUUAGUUGGAGUGUUUAGUCCAGUUACAUUUAAUGUAAUUACUGAUGUAGUUGUGGUUAAGUCUACCAUCUUGCUAAAUCUUUCCUUUAAUUUAAAAAUCUUUUUUUUGAGAUAGUGUCUCACUAUGUUUCCCAGGGUGGUCUUGACCUCCUGGCCUCAAGGAAUCAUCCCACCUCAGCCUCUCAAAGUGCUAGGAUUAUAGGCAUGAGCCACAACACCCAGCCUUGCCAAAUCUUUUCUUCUUUUCCUACCUGUUUUGUUUCUUUACUUCUCCUCUCUUAUCUUUUGGGUGAAUUAUAUUAUUUCAUUUCUGCCUUCUUCCCUUAUGUCAAGGAUUAUAACCCCUUAAGUCCUGCCUGUAUUAACUCCCCACCAAUGCUUUCAAAGAAAGAAGAGCAUACUUUACACAGUUUUGGCCGGAGGUGGUGGUUCACACCUGUAAUUCCAGCAAUUUGGGAGGCGGAGGCAGGCAGAUCACUUGAGGCCAGGAGUUUGAGACCAGCCUGGCCAAUAUGGUGAAACAUUGUCUGUACUAAAAAUACAAAAAUUAACCAGGCUUGGUGGCACGUGCCUGUAGACCCAGCUAUUUGGGAGGCUGAGGCAGGAGAAUUGCUUGAACCCAGGAGGCAGACAUUGCAGUGAGCCGAGAUCAUGCCACUGCACUCCAAUCUGGGCAACAGAGAGAGACUCUGUCUCAAAAAAAAAAAGUCACACAGUUUUAACUGGUGUCCCAAUUUCUAUAGUUCUCUAUGAAUAUAUUUACUCAUGGGGACCCAUGGGGCAAGAAAAUAUAUGUGUGUAUGUAUAAAUAUAUAUGUAUAUAUUAAUUCUGUAAUUAUGCUGUGACUAAUACAGCUAAGUAGCAUUAUAUUGUGUGUUACAACGUGUUAAUUUAUUAAACAUAAA